rnacentral:lncRNA from 1 species
GCGACUCACUUGAGCAUCUUCUUGGCCAACAUACGGGUUUCCUUGACAACUGUUCCCAUAGAACCAGUGUUCAAAGAUAGGCACAGACAAAGCAACCAGAGAGAUUAAUCAAUGAUCAUGCUCCAGUAUCUAAAAUGGCAUUGAGAUUUGUUGAUAUUGUAGUACCUACUUCCAAAUUUUGAUGAGUGUGUUUCAAACUCACUUUUCUCCUUUGACUACUUUUUUUUUUUUAGUGGAAUUCCCCUUUUUUCUUUCUCUUUCCCAAAUAAGAAAGUCCCUUUAAGGAAGGAUAACAACCACAGUUAAACUGCUACUUUGGAAAGUCUACCCUAAAAAAUAAUUAUUUCUCAUUUAAAAACCAAUAAUUCCACCAAAAGGACAGCAAGUGAGUCACACAGAGGGGAUCCCCAAAAGAGGGGUAGUUUUCCGAGAUUUAAUCACAGCUUUGUGGAAACCUCUACAUGUGGUAUGGUGUGUACCUCCAGAGUUCUAGUGUACUGCAAGAUACCCAGAAAUUAAUUUAUAACUCAAGCUGUCUCCAAGUUCACUCAGACCCAGAGAAGACUCAGUUCCACCGAGCCAGCCUCUCUCCCAUUUGCUUGCAGAACAGAGACAUCUCAGCAAACAAUUCCCAGUGUGGAAAGAAAACUGUGUGCAAACAGCGGACAAUUUGAAAAAGGGUGGGGACAAAGAGCUUACAGAAGGGCAGUAGGGAUGAACAACACAAAGAAACCCAACGUGGCAGAAUAAAAGAAUCCUUUGAGGUAUUAAAAUAGUUCCACUAAGCCAGUUCUGGCCACCCAUAUGAGAGAAAUCAGAAAUGCAAUUACUUCAACCCUGAGGAGUAAAUACAGAAAACAAGGAGCCCCAGGGAAAGUAUUCCAGAAUACAGACGUAAAUUAAUAGAAGGACCCUAAGGAAUUGCCUUUCUCUUUUCUUGUUUUCUUGCUGGUGUUUUAGAUGCCCUUCCCCAAAUGUGCAAUUAUCUCAGCAGAACGAAGAAAGAAGUGAAACUGCAGUGUGCACGCACUAUUGUGGAUAAAGGUAGACAAAUUGAGGGCUGGAGGGCAGUUGCAAGGUGCAAGCUUUGUCAGGCUCCUGUGUGGCCUCCUUGGUACCUCUGUGGCCUCUAGUGGGGAAAAUUCAACAGGUCUUUCAAACACUGAGACUAAAAUCAGCACUUACAAAUGGUUUCAUCUUAGCUGCAACAAACAACUCAAUUGUUCCUCAGUCUCAGCAACAAAGCAACAAUAGCAAAUCCACCAGAAGAUGCACUCUUUCUGUUCCUAGGAACCACUGGCGUGUCUGGUGUGGCAGCCACUCCAGCUUUGUGAGUGAGUUGACCUUGUCACUCAUCUAAUAUGGUUUGGGAGAUCCAAGAUGUGUGUACGUGCAAUGACUACAGUCAGCCUGGCUGUGUAGCCAUCCCAUGUGUUCUCGUCCCAGCGGAAGCAUGGCCUCCUCUGAAUAGAAACAGAUUACAACUCACAACCUUGGCCUUCUAAGAGGGACUGUCAACUCCAAGCCAUGUCUUGUAAUUCUGUCACUUCAAGAAAUUACUGAUUCCCUUGAAAGAGAAAUAAUUAGAAUACACUUUUAUUUUUACACCAUUUUGUUAACUUUGUGCUUUGAUUUGUGUGCUCUUGUUGAUUGCUUUUGUUCAUUGUAAAACUUAAGCCCAAAGCAUAAGUGUACACAGAAGAGAGUGAGUCUUCAUUUCCCUUGGUCAGGAAUUCAGUCAACAAACAUUUCCAGAUGAUUCCUUUGUGAUGGAAGCUACAGAGACAGUUUUAGGCAAGCUAGAUACUUGCCCUAAAGCAUCAUGAAGACUGAUGAGACAUCAGAGCCUGGACUGUUAUGAAUAGUGGAGCAGGAUCUAACCACCGCGUUCCCGAGGUGGGGGCGAGGGUCAAAAGAAACCUCACUAAGGAAGUGGGAUUUUAUUUGAGCUUCUUUGGCAAAGGCAGUGGGGAAGGGAGGGCUUUUGAAGAGGAACAGCAAGUGCAGGAAAGGCCCAUGAAGUGUCAGAAAGGAUGAAAUGUACCAGAAGCACAAUGAAAGCCCACAGAACUGGGAAGGUGGGCAGGGUCUCGGCGUCUGUGAGGACAUCUGGACUUGAGCCUCAGGGGAAUGGAAGGGGAUGAGGUUUCUAAGUCAGGCUUUGUUGAUUUGUGCACUGUGUCAGUCUGUCUCUGCAGGCUUUUGAUUUUCUGACCGUGACUUUGCCUAAUGGUUGACCAGUCAUACACGAGCAAUUCCACCCUCAUUUCCUAGGAAUGUAGGGGAGCCCUUUAAACUUCCUUUACUCUUUAUCACAUUUAUUUGUAGGAUAUAAUGUAGAUUUUAAAUAAACACCUAAAAAAUUAAUGAAAAAGUUACACCUCAUAUUUAUAUGGACUUUCCCAUAUUCUCCUACUGGGGCAGGGCAGGGCAGAACGGUACAGGAUCUUUAGGGGUAUGGAGUUUGAAGGCUGGGUUCAAAUCCCUGCACUGGAUCUUUUGGGCAAGUUCUUGAUUUUUCUGUGCCUUUGUUUCUUCAUUUGUAAAAUGGGGGAUAACAGGACCUCAUAGGCAGGUUUACCGCUUCAUGGAUCAUCCCAAGUGGGCAUUUUGGAGCUGUAGGAGGUUCCUAGCACAGGUCAACAUAGGCAGCAC